rnacentral:rRNA from 1 species
CCUACGGGAGGCAGCAGUAGGGAAUCUUCCACAAUGGGCGAAAGCCUGAUGGAGCAACGCCGCGUGAGUGAUGAAGGCCUUCGGGUUGUAAAACUCUGUCAUUCGGGACGAACCGGAGUCUGAGGAAAUGCAGACUCUCUGACGGUACCGGAGGAGGAAGCCCCGGCUAACUACGUGCCAGCAGCCGCGGUAAUACGUAGGGGGCAAGCGUUGUCCGGAUUCACUGGGCGUAAAGCGCGCGCAGGCGGUGAUGUAAGUCUGAGGUGAAAACCCGAAGCUCAACUUCGGGACUGCCUUGGAUACUGCGUCACUUGAGGAUAGGAGAGGCAAGGGGAAUUCCACGUGUAGCGGUGAAAUGCGUAGAGAUGUGGAGGAACACCUGUGGCGAAGGCGCCUUGCUGGCCUAUUUCUGACGCUGAGGCGCGAAAGCGUGGGGAGCAAACAGGAUUAGAUACCCUGGUAGUCCACGCUGUAAACGAUGAGUGCUAGGUGUAGGUGGGCUCAUACCCAUCUGUGCCGAAGCUAACGCAUUAAGCNCNCCGCCGNGGAGGUACGGUCGCGAGACGAGAACGUACGAAGGAAGUUAGACGGACGUUGGAGACGNGGCCGACGGACGACACGAGGGGAGGUUAGGG